rnacentral:rRNA from 1 species
UACGAAGGGGGCUAGCGUUGCUCGGAAUCACUGGGCGUAAAGCGCACGUAGGCGGCUUCUUAAGUCAGGGGUGAAAUCCUGGAGCUCAACUCCAGAACUGCCUUUGAUACUGAGAAGCUUGAGUCCGGGAGAGGUGAGUGGAACUGCGAGUGUAGAGGUGAAAUUCGUAGAUAUUCGCAAGAACACCAGUGGCGAAGGCGGCUCACUGGCCCGGUACUGACGCCGAGGUGCGAAAGCAUGGGGAGCAAACAGG